UACGGAGGAUGCGAGCGUUAUCCGGAUUUAUUGGGUUUAAAGGGUGCGCAGGCGGAUUUUUAAGUCAGCGGUCAAAUCGUGGGGCUCAACCCCAUCCAGCCGUUGAAACUGGGGACCUAGAGUGUGCGAGAGGUAUGCGGAAUGCGUGGUGUAGCGGUGAAAUGCAUAGAUAUCACGCAGAACCCCGAUUGCGAAGGCAGCAUACCGGUGCACAACUGACGCUCAGGCACGAAAGCGUGGGUAUCGAACAGG
rnacentral:rRNA from 1 species